GACGAACGCUGGCGGCGUGCUUAACACAUGCAAGUCGAACGGAAAGGCCCUGCUUUUGUGGGGUGCUCGAGUGGCGAACGGGUGAGUAACACGUGAGUAACCUGCCCUUGACUUUGGGAUAACUUCAGGAAACUGGGGCUAAUACCGGAUAGGAGCUCCUGCUGCAUGGUGGGGGUUGGAAAGUUUCGGCGGUUGGGGAUGGACUCGCGGCUUAUCAGCUUGUUGGUGGGGUAGUGGCUUACCAAGGCUUUGACGGGUAGCCGGCCUGAGAGGGUGACCGGCCACAUUGGGACUGAGAUACGGCCCAGACUCCUACGGGAGGCAGCAGUGGGGAAUAUUGCACAAUGGGCGGAAGCCUGAUGCAGCAACGCCGCGUGCGGGAUGACGGCCUUCGGGUUGUAAACCGCUUUCGCCUGUGACGAAGCGUGAGUGACGGUAAUGGGUAAAGAAGCACCGGCUAACUACGUGCCAGCAGCCGCGGUGAUACGUAGGGUGCGAGCGUUGUCCGGAUUUAUUGGGCGUAAAGGGCUCGUAGGUGGUUGAUCGCGUCGGAAGUGUAAUCUUGGGGCUUAACCCUGAGCGUGCUUUCGAUACGGGUUGACUUGAGGAAGGUAGGGGAGAAUGGAAUUCCUGGUGGAGCGGUGGAAUGCGCAGAUAUCAGGAGGAACACCAGUGGCGAAGGCGGUUCUCUGGGCCUUUCCUGACGCUGAGGAGCGAAAGCGUGGGGAGCGAACAGGCUUAGAUACCCUGGUAGUCCACGCUGUAAACGGUGGGUACUAGGUGUGGGGUCCAUUCCACGGGUUCCGUGCCGUAGCUAACGCUUUAAGUACCCCGCCUGGGGAGUACGGCCGCAAGGCUAAAACUCAAAGGAAUUGACGGGGCCCCGCACAAGCGGCGGAGCAUGCGGAUUAAUUCGAUGCAACGCGUAGAACCUUACCUGGGUUUGACAUGGAUCGGGAGUGCUCAGAGAUGGGUGUGCCUCUUUUGGGGUCGGUUCACAGGUGGUGCAUGCCUGUCGUCAGCUCGUGUCGUGAGAUGUUGGGUUAAGUCCCGCAACGAGCGCAACCCUUGUUCACUGUUGCCAGCACGUUAUGGUGGGGACUCAGUGGAGACCGCCGGGGUCAACUCGGAGGAAGGUGGGGAUGACGUCAAGUCCUCAUGCCCCUUAUGUCCAGGGCUUCACGCAUGCUACAAUGGCUGGUACAGAGAGUGGCGAGCCUGUGAGGGUGAGCGAAUCUCGGAAAGCCGGUCUCAGUUCGGAUUGGGGUCUGCAACUCGACCUCAUGAAGUCGGAGUCGCUAGCAAUCGCAGAUCAGCAAUGCUGCGGUGAAUACGUUCCCGGGGCU
rnacentral:rRNA from 1 species